AACGAAGCACUUUUACAGAUUUCUUCGGAAUGAAGUUUUAGUGACUGAGUGGCGGACGGGUGAGUAACGCGUGGGUAACCUGCCUUGUACUGGGGGACAACAGUUGGAAACGACUGCUAAUACCGCAUGAGCGCACAGAGCUGCAUGGCUCGGUGUGAAAAACUCCGGUGGUAUGGGAUGGGCCCGCGUCUGAUUAGGCAGUUGGCGGGGUAACGGCCCACCAAACCGACGAUGGAUAGGGGUUCUGAGAGGAAGGUCCCCCACAUUGGAACUGAGACACGGUCCAAACUCC
rnacentral:rRNA from 1 species